rnacentral:rRNA from 1 species
GACGGGGGGGGCAAGUGUUCUUCGGAAUGACUGGGCGUAAAGGGCACGUAGGCGGUGAAUCGGGUUGAAAGUGAAAGUCGCCAAAAAGUGGCGGAAUGCUCUCGAAACCAAUUCACUUGAGUGAGACAGAGGAGAGUGGAAUUUCGUGUGUAGCGGUGAAAUGCGUAGAGAUGUGGAGGAACACCAGUGGCGAAGGCGACUCUUUGGUCUGUAACUGACGCUGAGGCGCGAAAGCGUGGGGAGCAAACAGG